rnacentral:rRNA from 1 species
UUAACUGUAGGAAGGGGGGGAAGGUGGGGAUGACGUCAAAUCAUCACGGCCCUUACGUCAUGGGCUACACACGUGCUACAACAGCAAGACAGAAAGCAGGUGCCUGGCAACAGGAUGAGAAUCUCCAAAGCUUGUCUCAGUUCGGAUUGGAGUUUGCAACUAGACUCUAGGAAGCGGGAAUCGUUAGUAAUCGGAUAUCAGCCAUGAUCCGGGAAUACGUUCCCGGGCCUUGUCCACACCGCCCGUCAAGCCAGGGAAGCUGGGGGUACGUGAAGUCGGCGACCGCAAGGAGCUGCCUAGGGUAAAGCUAGUAACUAGGGCUAAGUCGAAGCAAAGUG